UUCCGUAGGUGAACCUGCGGAGGGAUCAUUACCGAGUUUACAACUCCCAAACCCAUGUGAACAUACCUACUGUUGCUUCGGCGGGAUUGCCCCGGGCGCCUCGUGUGCCCCGGAUCAGGCGCCCGCCUAGGAAACUUAAUUCUUGUUUUAUUUUGGAAUCUUCUGAGUAGUUUUUACAAAUAAAUAAAAACUUUCAACAACGGAUCUCUUGGUUCUGGCAUCGAUGAAGAACGCAGCGAAAUGCGAUAAGUAAUGUGAAUUGCAGAAUUCAGUGAAUCAUCGAAUCUUUGAACGCACAUUGCGCCCGCCAGUAUUCUGGCGGGCAUGCCUGUCUGAGCGUCAUUUCAACCCUCAUGCCCCUAGGGCGUGGUGUUGGGGAUCGGCCAAAGCCCGCGAGGGACGGCCGGCCCCUAAAUCUAGUGGCGGACCCGUCGUGGCCUCCUCUGCGAAGUAGUGAUAUUCCGCAUCGGAGAGCGACGAGCCCCUGCCGUUAAACCCCCAACUUCCAAGGUUGACCUCAGAUCAGGUAGGAAUACCCGCUGAACUUAAGCA
rnacentral:rRNA from 1 species